rnacentral:rRNA from 1 species
UCGGGAAUUUUGGGCAGUGGGCGAAAGCCUGACCCAGCAACGCCGCGUGAAGGAUGAAGUAUUUCGGUAUGUAAACUUCGAAAGAAUAGGAAGAAUAAAUGACGGUACUAUUUAUAAGGUCCGGCUAACUACGUGCCAGCAGCCGCGGUAAUACGUAGGGACCAAGCGUUGUUCGGAUUUACUGGGCGUAAAGGGCGCGUAGGCGGCAAUUCAAGUCAUCUGUGAAAUCUCCGGGCUUAACUCGGAACGGUCAGAUGAUACUGCUUUGCUAGAGUGCAGAAGGGGCAAUCGGAAUUCUUGGUGUAGCGGUGAAAUGCGUAGAUAUCAAGAGGAACACCUGAGGUGAAGACGGGUUGCUGGGCUGACACUGGCGCUGAGGCGCGAAAGCC